rnacentral:rRNA from 1 species
GCUGGCGGUAGGUUUACACAUGCACGUCGUGCGAGAAAAUAUCUUCGGAUAUGAGUAGAGCGGCGAACGGGUGAGUAACGCGUAGGAAUGUACCUAGUAGAAGGGGAUAGCCCGGGGAAACUCGGAUUAAUACCGUAUACCUCCUUUGGGAGAAAGAAGGCCUCUCUUUGAAGCUUUCGCUAUUAGAUCAGCCUGCGUAAGAUUAGCUUGUUGGUGAGGUAAUGGCUCACCAAGGCUACGAUCUUUAGCUGGUCUGAGAGGAC